UCCUUGGCCUCCAGACACACGGUGACAUCACUGACCGACCCCUUCUUGGUGUUUCUCCUCCCUCAGUGGAGGUGAUGUCAACAGCGGCCCUUCCCAGCCUGGAAGACAGGACUGGUUGUGUGGAAGGGUAAGGAUCGAAAAAAUGUUCUCCGCAAUCUAAACAAAGUUAGAUUGGGAAAUGCAGCAUGGUACCAUGGGGGCCUGGUUCGGCCAUGACCCGCCUGCCCGCAGGCGCCGGCCUCAGAUGCUCAGAGCGGCCUGGGGAGAGAGGGGAUGCUUUGACUUUUCAAGAUCUAAGAGUUAUGGUUCCCUUUUGGCGAAAUGCUUUUUGUCCUGUCAUAACUUGAGUCCUUUGUGGUAGCACCGAUUGUGGCCUCGGAAGCCCAGUGGUCAUGUAUGGAUGUGAGAGUUGCACUGUGAAGAAGGCUGAGCACCGAAGAAUUGAUGCUUUUGAACUAUGGUGUCGGAGAAGACUCUUGAGAGUCCCUUGGACUGCAAGGAGAUCCAACCAGUCCAUUCUGAAGGAGAUCAGCCCUGGGAUUUCUUUGGAAGGAAUGAUGCUAAAGCUGAAACUCCAGUACUUUGGCCACCUCAUGCGAAGAGUUGACUCAUUGGAAAAGACUCUGAUGCUGGGAGGGAUUGGGGGCAGGAGGAGAAGGGGACGACAGAGGAUGAGAUGGCUGGAUGGCAUCACUGACUCGAUGGACGUGAGUCUGAGUGAACUCCGGGAGUUGGUGAUGGACAAGGAGGCCUAGCGUGCUGCAAUUCAUGGGGUCGCAAAGAGUCGGACAUGACUGAGAGACGGAACUGAAUUGAAAUGAAUUGAUACAGGACAAGGAUGCCCAUGACAGCGUUGUUUGGAACAGCAGAAAGCUGGAAUCCAUUUAAGGGUCUAUCAAUGAGACCGGCUAGAAAAUGGAACUCUAAGAAACAGUUUUUGUGUCUUAAAAAAAAAAAUAUUAACAGGGUCUUCAGGUCAUGAGACCAAGGAUAUGUGAGUUUAUUUUUUAUUUUUGUCUGCACAGCAUGUGGGAUCUUAGUUCCCCAACCAAGGAUCAAACCCAUGCCCCCCGAAUUAGUAGUGCAGAGUCUGAACUACUAGACCACCAGAGAAGUCCAAGAAGCAGUUUUUAAAAAGGUUGAAAGGCGAUUGGUAGAGCUAGAUAUAGAGGACCUUUGAUUUUUUAAUAAGUAGGAAGGGAAAGCAAGGCUCUGGGCAAGGUAUUUAGGAAUAUCUGUUUUCAAAUUGUGUACCUUACUAGCCAAACCUUUUGAACGCAUUCACUAACGUAUUUGUUGAUUGAUUUAUACAUAUGUGAACCGAUCCAAAAAUAGCAUAAAAAAGUGAAUUGAAGCAAAGCAUAAGAUCUAAAAUUUUUUCGGCUACGCUGAAUUGUUUUAAGGACCUUUCCACCUUACAUGUAUGCACUUAUGCCACGUGAGUGACGUCAGUUCGUCACCUGUCAAUUUUAAAAUAUAUCUGCAAAUUCUUUGACACACCUUCCAUUGGUUUGCGUGAUCUAUGCCCUGUUCCCUUCAAAUGGGGCAGACCUUUGCCCUUGUUUUGGCCACCAGGGUAUGGCAGAAAUGACAAUAUUGGAUUCUGAGUCUAGAUGAGAAAACACUGGUGCCUGGUUUGUUUUUAGUUUUCUGGGAUGCAAAACCAAG
ensembl:lncRNA